rnacentral:rRNA from 1 species
UACAGAGGGGGCGAGCGUUGUUCGGAAUUACUGGGCGUAAAGGGCGCGUAGGCGGCCUGCUAAGUCGAACGUGAAAUCCCCGGGCUCAACCCGGGAACUGCGUCCGAUACUGGUGGGCUUGAAUCCGGGAGAGGGAUGUGGAAUUCCAGGUGUAGCGGUGAAAUGCGUAGAUAUCUGGAGGAACACCGGUGGCGAAGGCGGCAUCCUGGACCGGUAUUGACGCUGAGGCGCGAAAGCUAGGAGAGCAAACGGG